rnacentral:rRNA from 1 species
UACGGGGGGAGCAAGCGUUGUUCGGAUUUACUGGGCGUAAAGGGCGCGUAGGCGGUCGUGACAAGUCACUUGUGAAAUCUCCGGGCUUAACUCGGAACGGUCAAGUGAUACUGUCGGACUAGAGUACAGAAGGGGCAACUGGAAUUCUCGGUGUAGCGGUGAAAUGCGUAGAUAUCGAGAGGAACACCUGCGGCGAAGGCGGCCUGCUGGGCAGAUACUGACACUGAGGCGCGACAGCGUGGGGAGCAAACAGG